rnacentral:lncRNA from 1 species
CCUAACAGCUGGUUCCACUUCCUGGGCAGUUACGCCAUCAGGCUACGGUUGGGCCAGGUACCAGACGUUCCUCUUGGGAAGACAGGUGUGAUAUCAGGGGACAGGUCUUGUGUAGGCACCAGGCACCCUGGCAGCUCUCAUCUCCUGUUAAGCAGCUGCUGGCCUACCUCUUGGCGUGGGGCUACAGCUCCUCCAGAACCUGGAACAGGUAUAUGGGCAACUCUGACAAAGGGCCCCAGCUGCUUCUGCAGGUCACUCACAUCCUGAAGGCUGGAGACGGCGAGACAUACAGGUACCAGUUGUCCUCAUGAGUUCCAGUUUGUCUUUGCUCUCCCUCAUUGCACAUCCAGUUUGCUGAUCUAUGUGACUUCAGUCCCGACACCAGCCGUGGAGGCAACAGCCUUGCACAGACUUCUUCACCAGGUCCCACAACUGCUUCAGCUCUA